rnacentral:lncRNA from 1 species
UCGAAAUCUAUAAGGAAUCGGAAAAUGUAUAAAACAUGAAAGUUGUAGCUCUUGUAUUCUAAUUUCCAGAAAUAUACACCAUUCAUCAUUUGGAUAUUUGUACAGAAAGUUAUAAUCGAUUGAAUAAGGGCUAGUAAAGCUGUUAUGAAAUUUCCCAGAAAUUUCUGAUGCGAGGAGGCUAAUUUGGAAGCUUAUAUCUCGAAAUAUAUAUGGAAUGGGAAAAUGUAUAAAACAUGAAAGUUGUAGCCCUUUAUUCUAGUUUCCAGAAAUUUAAACCAUUUGGCAUUCGGACAUUUGUACAGAAAGUUAUGAUCGGUUGAAUAUGGCUGGUAAAGCUGUCUCUGGUGGACUUUUAGUGACGAAACUGGACUUUUAGUGACGGGCGGACAGAAACUUAAGGACCAAAAAUGUUGAUUUCUUCAUUUUCGUUUUGGGAUUUUUGGAGCUCGGUACUUGGGCGAUUUUUGAGGUGUUCUUCACGAUUUCAACUCAAGUAAGUGUCCUAUACUUGAAAGUGUUUAUAUUACAUAAAUCCAUGAUUAUUUUCAUCGUUUAAUUCGGAUUUAAAUGGAAGAAAUCAAGAUUUUUGCAAAAUCUUCCAAAAAUAAAAAAUUAAGAUUUGGAGGUCGAGUUGUUGUCGGAAUUUGAUAAUUUUGGUAUGGUUGAACUCGUAUCGGAAUGAGUUAUCGGAUUUUAUAAGUUUCGCCGGAUUCCGAGAUGCAGGCCCCACGAGCGAAUUUUGAGUGCAAUUUCGGAUUUUUAAUGGAAAGUGUAGAAUUCCAUAUGUAAUUAAUUCCUAUAAUUUUUAUUGAUUGAAUAAAAUUAUUGUGGCUAGAUUCGAGGCAUUCGGAGGUCGAUUUGAGAGGAAAAGGCAUUGUGGAGUAGUAUUUUGCUCGGGUUUUUGCUAAUUUCGAGAAUUUUGGUAUUUUUUCGAUUAUUUUGAUUGGGCUUUGUCCCUUAUCAUAUUAUGACAUAUUCGUUCUGAUUUUGGAUAGAUUUGACGGACGUGGAGGCCAAUUCGAGGGGCAAAGGCGUCGCGAGCUAAAGAAGUAGCCGGUUCGAGGUGAGUAAUUGAUGUAAAUGAUGUCCUGAGGGUUUGAAACCCCGGAAUUUCACAUCGUAAUGCUAUAUUGAGGUGACUUGCACGCAGGAUAACGGGCGUGGGGUAGAGCACCAUUGGGGAUUGUGACUUGGUCCAUCCCGAGAGAUGUUUUUACCGUGUUUUCUACUUGAACUAAAUUGAGAAUCAUCCUUACUUGGAUUUAACUGUUACAUUUGGGAUUCUUGCCAAUUAUUUGAAUCAUUCAGGGAUUGACAUCACUGUUUUCGCAUACAUGCAUAUCAUUUGAUCUCAGUCCAAGGUUUUUAAAUACUGUUUUGUAAGCUCAGCCAUUUUUCUAAGAUUUGAAAACUUAAAUGGUAUUUUUAAAUGAUAUUUCGGGCUAAGAACUACUGUUUUACAAAUGCCCAAGGGGCUUAUGAUGAUUUCUGGACUGAGCAUGGAUCGAGCUGCGCACCGCAAUAGUGUUAUAUUGAUAUUGAGGUCGAGAGCCUGGUUGAUUACAUUGAUAUUGAGGCCGAGAGCCUGGGUGAUUAUACUGAUAUUGAUAUGAGGCCGAUGGCCUAGAUUUGAUGCCACGAGAUGGCUCGAUAUUGCGCUUGGGCUGUAGGAGCCCCUCCGGAGUCUGUACACACCCCUAGUGAGCGCCGUCGACGAUAAAUAAAUGGAUGGCUCGGGCUGCAGGCCGCAGUGGGUACUAUAGUGUACCAUCAUACGCAUUGCAUUGCACUCAUGCAUUUGUUUUUAUCUGUUAUACCUGUCUCAGUAUUUGGUACUCUGACUUAAUUGACUUGUUGCUUCACUAUUUGUUGUUCUAAACUGCCAGUUAUAGUUUACUUUGUAUUUUUCCAUGAUUUCUUAUUCUCAGCCUUUAUUUAUGUUUAUUACUCAUUGGGUCGGAGUACUCACUUUACUCCCUGCACCUUGCGUGCAGAUCCAGGUAUACCACAGGCUAAGUGAGGAAUUGUUUAGCUGAGCAGGCAGUAUCCAGGAGUAUUGAGGUAGCUGCAUGGCAUUCGCGUCCUUGAUCUCUCCCCUCUAUCUCUAUCUUUUAUUCCGUAUUUUUCCUAGACAGACUUGUAAUAGGUGGAUAUUAUGUAUUAGAGGCUCAUAUUCGUGACACCGAAUUC